rnacentral:rRNA from 1 species
AACGAACGCUGGCGGCAUGCCUAACACAUGCAAGUCGAACGAAGGCUUCGGCCUUAGUGGCGCACGGGUGCGUAACGCGUGGGAACCUGCCCCUCGGUUCGGAAUAACAGUUAGAAAUGACUGCUAAUACCGGAUGAUGACUUCGGUCCAAAGAUUUAUCGCCGAGGGAUGGGCCCGCGUAGGAUUAGCUAGUUGGUGGGGUAAAGGCCUACCAAGGCGACGAUCCUUAGCUGGUCUGAGAGGAUGAUCAGCCACACUGGGACUGAGACACGGCCCAGACUCCUACGGGAGGCAGCAGUGGGGAAUAUUGGACAAUGGGCGAAAGCCUGAUCCAGCAAUGCCGCGUGAGUGAUGAAGGCCUUAGGGUUGUAAAGCUCUUUUACCAGGGAUGAUAAUGACAGUACCUGGAGAAUAAGCUCCGGUUAACUCCGUGCCAGCAGCCGCGGU